GUGCUUGCUUCAGCAACACAUAAACUAAAACUGAAAUGAUACAGAGAAUAACGUUGCCCUUGCACAAGAAUGGCAUGCAAAUUCAUGCAGCAUUCCAUAUUUUU